GGGAUCUUGUUAAAAAGCAGAUUCUGAUUCUGUAGGUCUGGGCUUGGGGCCUGAGAUUCUUCAUUUUUAACAAGCUC
rnacentral:miRNA from 1 species